rnacentral:lncRNA from 1 species
ACCGGGCUCCGCUCCUGCUCGGCGCUGCUGCCGAGCCGCGCUCGGUCUGGACGUUCCCUCCUCUAUCCUCUUGCACUUCCCUCGCCCCCCGUUUUGUUUUUUUUAAUUUAAUUUUUUAAUGUGCGGUGCGCGGAAUUUCGUCUCUUUAAACUCCGUGCGGUUCUGCCCCGGUAAACGACACUGGUCCAUCGCCGGCUCGCACGCUCCCUUACAUGCUCAAUCCACACAGGAAGAAGCAGAAGUUUUAACCAUCUUCCCAUGGCAUCUGACUUUUUUGAAGAGGAGGACUUUUCAGCCACUUGAUUGA